rnacentral:pre_miRNA from 1 species
UUUUAAGUAUUAGUAUGUCUCAUGUAACACUUGGGAUAUACUUAUACUAAAA